UCGCAUCCACUUUAGGAGGUGGUGGACAGUUGCCGUGACCCUGUCAAGUUGGGAAGUGGUCCUGGGACCCCGUCGGGUUGGGUCGUCCGCCAGGAGGACUCCCAGCACCCCCGGGGGGCGUCAUGCUCGCAGUCACGGUUUAUCACGGGGAAAGGACACAUACCACCAUCAGCCAGGGGGAGGCGCGCACCGGGCAGGGCCCAGGAGGGUGCAAACCGUCCCCUCCCCGCGGGGCCGUUGGCAGCGUUGGUUCCCCUGGCAACGACGUGAUGGCACGCACCAGCUUCGCCAACCGGGAAGCCCCCAGCUUCCGGCAGUGCGGCAGCCUUCCGGCAGCCUCCGGCAUGCGAGGCCUUUAUCUGGCUUCCGUCGCGUAGACCUGGUUCACUGCCCGCGUGGCUGACCUCAGUCUCCGGCCCCUCGGGAGGCCGAGCUGAUCCCGUGUGGCCCAGAGCCCCGGGGGAAACAAGGACGCUGGACUCUGGAUGUCCCCAGGCUUGGCGGUGACCUCCCAGCAGCCAAGGCCAGAGGCCCGACCUCCCUUGAGUGUCCCUGGGGCCUUGCCAACUCCUGGCUUGGAGCUCAAAGGCACUACCACUCCUCCCGUGUAACGGCCUGAACUGUGUCCCUCCCAUGUUCAGAUGUGGAAGCUCUAACCCUCAGGACCUCAGAAGGUGACUGUGUUUGGAGAUGGGCCUUUAAAGAGAGCUCCUGCCAGAGCAUGGAGUGUGCUUCGUUCGGGACUCUGGCGUCUACUGAGUGCUUUCAUUCCAUGCCGGCUAGUUUCAAGGUGCGACCCGUAAAACGGUGCCCAGUUCGGGCUUCAUUACAGCGUUCUCGUGUACCCGAGGGUGUAGAUGUGGAUGAGGCCAGUGACUUCCUCAAGAUCAUGAAUCUGAUGGUGACAAAGGCUCGAACUUGCGGCCAAUAGCUGACUCAUUCGCUUCACCAGGCCACUAAGUUGUAGUGUUUUAACAGGGGUCUUCAGGGUGUGAGGGCUGCAGGAACAGCCUGCUGGAGAAAUCCGUGACCAUGAGAUCUGGGUGGGGUAGAACAGGAAGGUCUGAAAGACUGCACCCUCAGGCAGGGAGAAAACAAUAAAACAAGGCAAAGCCAAGGAGCCCGAAGGCUGAACGCGGCCGUGGGUGGAUGUGGGGGGAAGGUCCUAGGAGAAAUGUCGGGGGAUCCUGUUCGACAAGUGGGGUCUGGGGUCUGGGAGUGGACGAUGGGCAGAUGGCAGGUGCCCAGAUGAGGUCCUGGGACGGGGUCGCUGGAGGCCAUCAGAUGAGGUCAGGAACUGGGUGCUGGGGGCCAAGGUCUUCUGUGAACAGAAAGAGAGAUCAGGCAUGAGGCACGGCACCUGAGUGGGAUGGGCAGCGCGGGACCCUUGGGGCAACGGCAUCCCUUGAGAAAUGUAUGCAGACGCCUCCUCGGAGAGCGGCAUAAGACUCCUGGGUCCCUGCCUUACCGCGUGGGACGGGAGCGCGGUCCCACAGGCAGUCCCAGGGCAUCCCUCUCCCCACUUGCCCGAUGGCUCCUGAAAAAGACCCAGAAGCCCAGUGAGCUCCUGAAGCUCUGCUCUUCCUGGUUUCCCCGCCCCUGGAGCCCCGCAACACCACUACCUGCCACUCUGUCAGAGGGGGCCUGGCUGGGUCCCCUGCGCUAAGUCCUUGCCACCCCAUAGCCCCUUUGCACGCAGCUUGCCCGCGACCAAGGAAGAGUUCUCUGAACCCGCAAAACCACAGGCUCUUGAGACAGCAUCACAGCAACACCAUGGCCUCGUCCUUACUGGGGCCUGCAGGGGAGGGGGCAGCGGGGUCUGCCCAGGGAGGGCAGAGGGUCGCUGCCUCGGGAAGGGCCCCGAGGAGGCUUUUCUAGCGCCCGGGAGGCCUAGCACCCCGCUGUCCGCUCUCGGGCUCGGGGGGUUGGAGGGCGUGCGCCCAAGUCCGCUCCCCUCAGCCUGAGAAGCCAGGAGGUCUCACUGCCACUGAGGUGGCCGCACGGCCGGUGGAUGACGCAGUGGCUGAGAAAUGCUCAGUAAAAAGGAGAGUUGUUUCUGGACCGGCCUGAGGCCUUGGCUUUGGCUCGAAGUGGACGGUGGUGAGUGUGGCUUCCCUUCCCUCGCUCGUGUCAAAGGCCACCUUCUCAGGGGCCCUCCGCCAGCCGUUCUCACGAGCAUCUGAGUCCUGUCCGGUGUCUUCCCCGAGCGCCAUUAGUGCUCUGAGUUACCUCGUGGCCAUGGCCGUGUCUGCGCCCCGAUGCUCACCAGUGCUCAGCGAGCACCAGUCUCCGUCCACCCGGCUCCUCCACUUCCUGCCUCCUGGCCUGGCCUGGCUCCCCCUAAGAAGGGAUCAAUAUUCUGCUCCAUGCACCUCCCUGACCCACCCAGAGCCCCCCUCACGGAAAUGCGGGGCGCCUGGGGUGCCUCUACCCACCCCCCCUCCCCCCGCCCCUGGCUCUGACCAGACCUCUCUCCACUGGGUGCUGACGGGACGUGACAUGAGGUGGGGAUUUGGGGGCCCGCCAGUUCUCCGCCAGCUACAGUGGCCUCUGUGUCUUUAUUUUCUUCACAGUUGUGUCCAAGGCUGUAGGGGUUCCCCCAAGGGCACUCUUUCCUGUGUGGGAUACGCUGGGGGGCCGUGCCGGGGGCCGGGAGCCCCUCAGGAGCAGUGACUACCGCCCCAGCCCCACUGGACCAAACACUGUGACGGCGAGACCGGGUCCUUGUUCCCUUGUGUCCUGCCCCUCGUGCCUGCUCUGCCCUGCCCAUCGGGAGAACACGCGUCAGCUGCCCUUCCACCCCAUGAGACAAUCCGCAGGCCCCACUCUGUCCUCACCUUUCUGCACUCAGCCGGUGGCCUUGCUUCUCAUUUCACUGAGGACACCGAGGCCGUCCUCAGAGGAGGCCACACACCGUGCCCACGGCUCGUCCCUCCGGUCGCCCCAGUGGGCCCCCGUCCCUCUCAUCUGCUCAAGGACACGGCUCCAGCACUUGCCGGCGCUCUCUGGAACGCAUUGGCCCCCUUCGGUGUAGCGAUGCGCUGGGAUGACGCCCUUCUUCUCCUGAACUUCAGUGCCCUGUCCAGCUGUCCUCCCCACCGUCUCUCUACUUUCUUUUCUUUUUUUUUAAUUUUUUUCAACGUUUAUUUAUUUUUGGGACAGAGAGAGACAGAGCAUGAACGGGGGAGGGGCA